AAACCUUCUUGGCUUUUGAUGAAGAGUAAGUGUAGUGUCUGUUCUUAUCAGUUGGAUAUGUGAUACGUCUCUUAUCUUGGUACCAUGUAUUACAUGCUAUAUUUAUUGUUUUAUAGUUUAAACAAAAUACUUGUGCUUUGUGCAAGUUAUAUUUUGCAACAAGUUCUUCUGGAAUACAAGAAGAUUUUUGUGAUCUUCU